GAUGAAGAACGCAGCGAAAUGCGAUAAGUAUUGUGAAUUGCAGAAUUCAGUGAAUCAUCGAAUCUUUGAACGCACAUUGCGCCCCUUGGUAUCCCGAGGGGCAUGCCUGUUCGAGCGUCAUUUCACCACUCAAGCCUGGCUUGGUGUUGGGCGACGUCCCCUUUGGGGACGCGCCUCGAAACGCUCGGCGGCGUGGCACCGGCUUUAAGCGUAGCAGAAUCUUUCGCUUUGGAAGUCGGGGCCCCGUCUGCCGGAAGACCUACUCGCAAGGUUGACCUCGGAUCAGGCAGGGAUACCCGCUGAACUUAAGCAUAUCAAUAAGCGGAGGA
rnacentral:misc_RNA from 1 species